rnacentral:rRNA from 1 species
GACGAACGCUGGCGGCGUGCUUAACACAUGCAAGUCGAACGGAAAGGCCCCUUUGGGGGUACUCGAGUGGCGAACGGGUGAGUAACACGUGAGUAACCUGCCCUUGACUUCGGGAUAACUUCAGGAAACUGGGGCUAAUACCGGAUAGGAAUCCUUGCUGCAUGGUGGGGGUUGGAAAGCUUCGGCGGUUUUGGAUGGACUCGCGGCUUAUCAGCUUGUUGGUGGGGUAGUGGCUUACCAAGGCUUUGACGGGUAGCCGGCCUGAGAGGGCGACCGGCCACAUUGGGACUGAGAGACGGCCCAGGCUCCGACGGGAGGCAGCAGUGGGGAAUAUUGCACAAUGGGCGGAAGCCUGAUGCAGCAACGCCGCGUGCGGGAUGACGGCCUUCGGGUUGUAAACCGCUUUCAGCAGGGGCGAAGCUUGUGGUGACGGUACCUGCAGAAGAAGCACCGGCUAACUACGUG